ACUAAUCUGGGAUGUUCGCCAGCGGGUCUGAUUCCCCUGAGCCGAUAUCUACACCAUAGGAUUGCGUUCUGCAUGCUUAGAGCGUAUGCCUACCCUCGAGUAGGACACCCAACAAGUAUGCGUCGCGUCCACCUUGAACUUUAGGGUUCAAGGGUAAAGACAUGCAGCGGCAUCCUGGAGCCUUA
rnacentral:other from 1 species